rnacentral:lncRNA from 1 species
GCGCGCUGCCUCUCACAGCCCGGGCGGACGGACGGACGUACAGACUGGCUGGCUGACGGGCUGGCGAGCGGUACGGCCGGGGGGCGGUGGCGGCGGACAUCGCGCACGGGGUGACUACCGGUGACCCAGCUGAACUUCCCCAAGAGCCAAAGGGUGAGGAGAGGAGAGAGCCCCGACACAGGAGAACCUCUGAACCUCUUUCAUCCGACAUUAUCUGCCAAAACAUAGUCGAGUGGAACCAGCUCCUUUAUCCACCUUUGCCCAAGUGGAGAGUAUGGCUUCUGGGAUUUCAGAUUUCCUCUUUGUUUUACAUGAACUCUACAGAAACGGUGGCCCUUGACGGGCUUUGGAAUAAAAGAAAGAGACCUAGCAUAGACAGGCUGUCCCUCCCCGUUCCCUUCCCCCCACCCCCUUCAAAGGGAAGGAUUUACAGCUCAACCUUGCAGCAGCUGUUGCUCAGCUUUAGCCGCCAAGAGAGAAAUAAAUAAAAUUAAACCACCAUUGCCAGGCAGCCGGUCCUGGUGAAAUUGAGGUGUGGGGGAUGUGGCACCAAGGAGACUACUUGAAAGGGGCAGAGAUUGCCAUGGAAACAGACUCUCUUUGAAGCUGGAAGGGGGACCCACCUGAAGUUUCUCUCCGAUUGAAGUUGAGCAAGACAUAGUUUGAAUAAGCCCACUACACACUUUCGGAAGUGUGGCAGACUUGGUAUCAAUCGAAGGGGCAUUUGUGCCUCAUAAAGGAGUCCUGUCAGCAGCUCUCCUCCCUUGCCCUGGGUGCCAUUCUUCCCUGAUCUUUCCCUUUAAAGACCUGUCUCCACCCAUGAGUUCAGCUCUGAUCUGUCUGCCUGCCCAUGCUCUCAGCCUACAGCCAUUUGCAUGUAUACAGUCCACAGCUCAUUUUCGCCUUUUAAACCGUCCAGGUUGUGCUGCUUAAUCCCCUCUCCUGUCUCGUCCUGGGGAGGGGGUUAUUCACCUGUUGGUUUCUCCUUUCCCCCUCCCAUGCUUUUUGUUUCGUUUGAAAUCUUCUGACUUUUGCUUUUAUUUGGGAGGGGGAAGGGCAGUAGUUUUAAACUCGAGUCUCCAGGUUUCCUUCUGUGCUGCCCUUCCUCCCUGUCCCCAUUGACCCCACAUCCCAUUUUCUUACCCGUUCUGCCACUGUGUGGGCCUGGGCUAUGCGGCAAGGCAGA